rnacentral:rRNA from 1 species
UACGUAGGGUGCAAGCGUUGUCCGGAUUUAUUGGGCGUAAAGAGCGUGUAGGCGGCCAUUCAGGUCAGCUGUGAAAACUCGAGGCUCAACCUCGAGACGCCGAUGGAAACCAUCAGACUAGAGUCCGGAAGAGGAGAGUGGAAUUCCUGGUGUAGCGGUGAAAUGCGCAGAUAUCAGGAAGAACACCCGUGGCUAAGGCGGCUCUCUAGUACGGUACUGACGCUGAGACGCGAAAGCGUGGGGAGCGAACAGG